GAUAAUAUAACUUAAAUAUUUCGGAUACAGUAAAAUUUUAAUUAUAGACUUGAUUUUAAGGCUUAUUGGGUGAAAUUUUUAAGUUUUAAAGUUAGUCGUUUAUUGAUUGUGAUUCUGAUAAAUUUAUUAUUUAAACUAGGAUUAGAUACCCUAUUAUUUUGAACGUAAAUUUAUUUCUGGACCAGUAUUAGUUAUGUUCUUGAAAAUUAAAGAUUUUGGCGGUAUUUUAGUCUGUUCAGAGGAACCUGUCCUGUAAUUGAUGAUCCACGAUUUAAAUUACUUUUUCUCAGUUUUCAUAUCGUCGUAGUUUGAAAAUUUUAUUAGAAUGAGAAUUUUCAUAAUUUCUUUAAGAAAGAAAAUCAGAUCAAGGUGUAGCUAAUGAGGAAGGAGUGAUGGGUUACAUUAAGUUUACUUAAGGAGUUUAUUCUUGCGAAGAUAAAUGAAUUUGGAUUUGAUAGUAAUUUUAAUUAGAUUAUUAGAAUGAUUUUAGCUCUAAAAUAUGCACAUAUCGCCCGUCGCUUUCAUUAUAAAGUGAAAUAAGUCGUAACAAAGUAGGCUUACUGGAAAGUGUGCCUGGAACGUCAGGCUAGAGCUUGUUAUAAAGCAUUUUACUUACAUUAAAAAGUUAAUUGUGAGAAUCAAUUUGGCUUGAAAUUAAGUUUUUACUUUUAUUUUAUUUUUUAAGUUUUUAUAAUAAGAAUAUUAUUUUUUAUUAUUAGUUAAGAAAAAAUUAUUUUAGUUUUAGUUUAAUAGUACUGUGAAGGAACAAAUGGUUAUAAUUAAAAUAAAUAUUAAUUUUU
rnacentral:rRNA from 1 species